AGUUGUCUAACAAGCAGAGAGUCACAGCAAUUGCCAAAGCAACUGCGGAUGGUCUUUCACAUGAUAUCAACAGUUGUGACCUCAAAGUGCCCCUUGGCUAUAGUUUUGGUCUCCUCAGUCAUUUUUUGUGACUAACAAACCCUGUAGACAUACGGAAAGUCUUCUGUCAUCACAUGCGCACGGUCGACGUACAGUCAACAAGCAGAACGAUAUGCACCAGGUCAAUGUGGAUUCGCUACCUAUAGCUACUGCAGGAGUUGUGACCGCGCAGUGAUUUCAGGGAAGUUCUAACAAGGAUAUCAGAGGUAAUGCAGACAACCCAGCUUCCCCAUGUCACAAAGCGUCAGUUUUCUUUUUGAAUAAUGUAUUGCAGUCGAUAUAAACACAAUGGUGGUUUAGAGGAAGGAGCUUCACAGGUGCUAUCACGUGCGUUACUUUCUAUAGGUUAUGUCUGCAGUCUUGGAACACAUUUUGAAGAGCAUAGAUGUUGAUUUAUUAGUAUCGGUAACAAUGAACUAGAUUACGGUUAAACAGGCAAUGCCAAAGUUGUCUGGCAGUUGUCAGUGCAUGUUUUAAGUUUUUCCUAAUUUUGUCAAUAACUAUAUUGAGAUAUGGU